CUAGAUAGGAAGGCCUCGAUCCUACAAAGUCU
rnacentral:tRNA from 1 species